UGAGGAAUCUUGCGCAAUGGGGGAAACCCUGACGCAGCAACGCCGCGUGAGUGAGGAAGGUCUUCGGAUCGUAAAGCUCUGUCAGUUGGAAAGAAAUGUCUGAGAGUCAAUCCCUUUCAGGCUUGACGGUACCAACAGAGGAAGCACCGGCUAACUCCGUGCCAGCAGCCGCGGUAAUACAGGGGGUGCAAGCGUUGUUCGGAAUUAUUGGGCGUAAAGAGCGUGUAGGCGGCCGGAUAUGUCAGAUGUGAAAGCCCCGGGCUUAACCCGGGAAGUGCAUUUGAAACUGUCCGGCUCGAGUAGGGGAGAGGGAAGUGGAAUUCCUGGUGUAGAGGUGAAAUUCGUAGAUAUCAGGAGGAACACCGGUGGCGAAGGCGACUUUCUGGACUGACCCUGACGCUGAGGUGCGAAAGCGUGGGUAGCAAACAG
rnacentral:rRNA from 1 species